rnacentral:rRNA from 1 species
CGAGCGAUGAAGCUUCCUUCGGGAAGUGGAUUAGCGGCGGACGGGUGAGUAACACGUGGGUAACCUGCCUCAAAGUGGGGGAUAGCCUUCCGAAAGGAAGAUUAAUACCGCAUAAUAUAAGAGAAUCGCAUGAUUUUCUUAUCAAAGAUUUAUUGCUUUGAGAUGGACCCGCGGCGCAUUAGCUAGUUGGUAAGGUAACGGCUUACCAAGGCAACGAUGCGUAGCCGACCUGAGAGGGUGAUCGGCCACAUUGGAACUGAGACACGGUCCAGACUCCUACGGGAGGCAGCAGUGGGGAAUAUUGCGCAAUGGGGGAAACCCUGACGCAGCAACGCCGCGUGGGUGAUGAAGGUCUUCGGAUUGUAAAGCCCUGUUUUCUGGGACGAUAAUGACGGUACCAGAGGAGGAAGCCACGGCUAACUACGUGCCAGCAGCCGCGGUAAUACGUAGGUGGCGAGCGUUGUCCGGAUUUACUGGGCGUAAAGGGUGCGUAGGCGGAUGUUUAAGUGGGAUGUGAAAUCCCCGGGCUUAACCUGGGGGCUGCAUUCCAAACUGGAUAUCUAGAGUGCAGGAGAGGAAAGCGGAAUUCCUAGUGUAGCGGUGAAAUGCGUAGAGAUUAGGAAGAACACCAGUGGCGAAGGCGGCUUUCUGGACUGUAACUGACGCUGAGGCACGAAAGCGUGGGUAGCAAACAGGAUUAGAUACCCUGGUAGUCCACGCCGUAAACGAUGGAUACUAGGUGUAGGGGGUAUCAACUCCCCCUGUGCCGCAGUUAACACAAUAAGUAUCCCGCCUGGGGAGUACGGUCGCAAGAUUAAAACUCAAAGGAAUUGACGGGGGCCCGCACAAGCAGCGGAGCAUGUGGUUUAAUUCGAAGCAACGCGAAGAACCUUACCUGGACUUGACAUCCCUUGCAUAGCCUAGAGAUAGGUGAAGCCCUUCGGGGCAAGGAGACAGGUGGUGCAUGGUUGUCGUCAGCUCGUGUCGUGAGAUGUUAGGUUAAGUCCUGCAACGAGCGCAACCCUUGUUAUUAGUUGCUACCAUUAAGUU